rnacentral:rRNA from 1 species
UACGAAGGUGGCUAGCGUUGUUCGGUGUCACUGGGCUUAAAGCGUGUGUAGGCGGAAAAGAAAGCGCUUUGUGAAAUUCCUGGGCUUAACCCAGGAAUUGCUUGGCGAACUGCUUUUCUUGAGGCAAGUAGGGGUGCAUGGAACUCUUGGUGUAGCGGUGAAAUGCGUAGAUAUCAAGAGGAACGCCAAUGGUGAAAACAGUGCACUGGGCUUGUCCUGACGCUCAGACACGAAAGCGUGGGGAG